GGGCCUGUAGCUCAGGUGGUUAGAGCGCACGCCUGAUAAGCGUGAGGUCAGUGGUUCAACUCCACUCAGGCCC
rnacentral:tRNA from 1 species